AAUGUUAGCAGAAGGCAAGCAGAAAUGUCAGAGCACUGCUCUGUAGCAGCACUGCUCACCCCCGUACUUCUGCUGGGAUAUGACUGGACACUGAGCCCUGGAGAGGACACAUCACAGGAAGAGGUCUGGGCAGGAGACCCCAUCCAGGGAGGUGAUGCUCAGGAUGCCCUUUCUAUUCCCUGCCAAGCAGCUGAGGAGCUCUAAUUACACAGCAGGCAACACUAACAGGUUCUGCUCAUCAAUGCUUGUUAGUGACACUGGAAUCAGGCUGGACUUCCCAGCAAGAGCUGGUGAGGCUGCACGUGGGAGCCAGGUGGUCCAAGGACUCCUCAUAGGCAUUCUUCAUCUUGAACAGCUCCGUGCUGAGAGAGCGCGACUCCUUCUGCGAGGCCUCCAGCUCAGCCUGCGUUUCCUCAUACUUCUGCUUCCAUUCUGCCAGGAUCUGAAGAGAAACGGGGGGGAGGCACAUUUGGCAUUGACAGCCUCAACAUGUUCCUCUGCAUCCUGCAGGCGCUGGGCCAACUUCUUCCUGGGAAGUGACUCUGCACUCUUCAGCAAAGGCUUGAUCUUGAAGAACAGCUUCAUCCAUGGCCAGUGUUUGACAUUCAUGAAUGCACGAAUGUUGUACUGGAUGCAGUAGAUGGACUCCCUGAAAGUCUUGACAGUGACUUUGCCUGAUUCCCUGCUCGUGAUUGUCCCUUUCACAAAGGAUUCUUUGGGAUGAGCCACAAAGACCGAUGACUUGGCAUCAAAAGGUAAUAAAUAAAAUUUUUGUCUGGAGUAAGAAAAUGGAUAUCUAAGAAAGCUGACAAUUCUGGCACUCUACAAAGGUGGUUAGAAGGGUGAACUUCACUGAACUUCACAGAAGCAAAGCACAGCAGAGAUAAAUGGCAGGAGGCAGUCUGGAAGCCUUCUCUGGAUACAGACUGUGCUGCACAGCAAUGCAGUGUCGUCAAGGUGCACAUUCCCAUGGAGGAGAAAGGAUUCAGUCGUGCUGAAAAUAGAUCCUUCUUGAGACAGAGAUCAGACAGCUGCUCCCUUCCUGCCAGGGCCUGAGAGGUGUAUUUUGUUCCCCCCAUCCCAGCAGUUAACUGAGGGAUAAGGAGUGAGAAGGCACUUUUUAGCCAGGCAGCAGCCAGGCUGGGGAGGGCAAGGGGAAGUUCCUGCAGGUGCUGUGUGUUGGCCACUGGGAACCUCCCCCUCCUGCCUGCUCAGACUCAUCAAGCUCAUGAACUGGAAACACAAGAACGGCCUGUGUGGGUAACAGCAGGAAAAGGGAUGGGUUUUUGUAGUCUUCACCCCUGGAAGCUACUCUCAGGCUAUAUGCUCUGUGAUUCCCUAAGACAGACAGGCCUCCAAGGUGUCCCUCUGGCUGGGGAAGUCUCCAGGUGUCCCCUCUGGUUUGGGACGUGUCCAGGUGGCUGCUCCCAUGCAGCUGAAGCUAUGGCUUUCAGUGAAAUCUUUUCUUUCACUUCAUUCAAUCAGCAGACAGUUAAUUCCAUGGCACUUGCCAAAGCACAUCCCUCCAGAGCACCAAAUCCAUAAUGCUGCUUCUCAUGAACAGAGUCAGAGAUCUGUGAUGCUCAUAGGGGCAGCAAAAUGCAUCACAUCACAGCAGGAAGGAGCUCCACCAGGUGAGGAGCAGCGGGGCAGGCAGAGCACAGGAGAUUCUUCUCAUUACCACAGGGUGGACAAAUUCUCAGUGGUAACUGUAUACUUGUAAGCAUUUCUCCAUGUCCAUAACAGGAAUUUAGGGGUGUGGUUCAAACAUUUUUUUUUCAUUAUGAGUUGCCAGGCAUGAUUUUUCAGAAAUAUGUGUAUGAUACAGCACUAACAUCACCUCUGAUGGUUAUUUGUAACAAUGAAGGAAAUAAGAUUGCAUGAUGUCCCUGCCCAUGUCAGAGAGACUGGAUUAGGUGAGAUUUAAAGGUCUGUACAUCCCAAACCCUUC